AUUGAACGCUGGCGGCAGGCCUAACACAUGCAAGUCGAGCGAGCGGCGGACGGGUGAGUAAUGUAUGGGGACUGCCCGAUAGAGGGGGAUAACUACUGGAAACGGUAGCUAAUACCGCAUACUAUCGGAUAACCCAUAUGGGAUUAGCUAGUAGGUGAGGUAAUGGCUCACCUAGGCGACGAUCCCUAGCUGGUCUGAGAGGAUGAUCAGCCACACUGGGACUGAGACACGGCCGAGACUCCUAGGGAGGCGGCAGUGGGGAAGAUUGGGCAAUGGGGGCAAGCGUGACCCAGCAACGCCGCGUGAAGGAAGACGGUCUUCGGAUGGUAAACUUCUUUAGACAGGGACGCGGUACCUGUAGAAUAAGCCACGGCUAACUACGUGCCAGCAGCCGCGGUAAUAC
rnacentral:rRNA from 1 species